AUUAGCUUAUGACUAUUAAUUAUGGCUAUUAUUAAGACUACUAUUAUUACUAUAGCUAGGACCACUAUCAUUACUGUUAUCAAUAGCGAUGUUUUUCUUAAUUACCUCCUCGUGCAGCUAGUGGAUGUUGAUAUUGAUGGUAAUGAUGAUGCCGAAGAAGCUGAUGAUUUUGAUGAUCCUGAGGAAGAUGAAGGUUAUUUAAAGGUGAAGGAGAUUUCUUAUAUAUCAGGUGUUCCUACAUAGAUAAAAAAAAAUGGUCUAUAGGAGGUGCAUAUCUAAUUUCCCUGUUUUUUCCUUUCAUUUUUUCUCUCAUUAAAUUUUCCCUCGGCAAGUCUAGUCGAGGACGAGUGAAUGAAGGCUUGCUAAUGUUACUUUUUCCCUCAUUAAAUUUUCCUUCGGCAAGUCUAGUCGAAAACGAGUGAAUGAAGGCUUGCUAAUGUUACUUUUUCUCAUUAAAUUUUCCUUCGGCAAGUCUAGUCGAGGACGAGUGAAUGAAGGCUUGCUAAUACCCUUAAUUUUCUAUGUUAUUUGUGUAGCCAGUCACUAAGAACAGUCUAAUUGGUUCCUGUAUGACAACCCAGUGAAGUCACCAAGCCAUGAUCGCAUUGCUUCAAUCAAUUAAAAACGUUUCUAAAUCAUAAUGGUAAUUCUGCUCUUCUUUAGUGUGUUCAGAAUUGGUGUGUGUGUGUGUGUGUGUGUGUGUGUGUGUGUGUGUGUGUGUGUGUGUGUGUGUGUGUGUGUGUGUGUGUGUGUGUGUGUGUGUGUACGUUCAAACUAUUUAAACUUUGAUGUAUACUAUGUGCAGGCUAUGGAGAGUUAUUUGGCACCCUUGCGGAACGAUACAUUCUGACACCCCACUCGAGGAAUUUUAAACAAGCAAGUAACAAUAUAUAGGGUCAGUUUCAUAGGCCAACACAGUGCCACUAUAAGCCCCCUAACCAUGCUAAAUCACAUACACCCUUGUGGAACGAUACAUUCUGACGCCCCACUCGAGGGAUUUUAAACAAGGGUCAGUUUCAUAGACCAACUUCCCUCCCCUUCUGUCUCUCUCUGGCAUAUGACCACAGAUGUUGCGCCGACUAAACGAAACUUUCCAACUUCAUAGUCCAACACAGUGUCAUUACAAGCCCCCUAACCAUGCUAAGUGAUUCUACACAGUUCAUAGUGUUAACGGUUUCUCCUCAGUGCUGUACCAAAUGAGACUUCCCAUGUAAUAUCCUCAAAUUUGUUAGCAUAUUAUGAAUGCCAAAUUUGACGCUGAAUGAGAAAGUAUCAUUACAAGCUCCCUAAUGAAACUAAAUGAUUCUAUACAGUUCAUAAUGUUCACGGUUUCUCCUCAGCACUGUACCAAAUAAGACUUUCCGUGUAAUGUCCUCAAAUUUGUCAGCAUAAGAGCCUGGGUUCGAUUCCCGGGCGGAGUGGAAAAAUUUGGGCAGCUUUUCCGAUACCCUACGCCCCUGUCCACCCAGCAGUGAAUGGGUACCAGGUAUUAAUUGGGGGUUGUGUCCCAUCUCCUGGGGUCUGUUCCCUUCUCCUAUAAGUCCUUCCCCUUCUGUCUCUCUCCGGCAUAUGACCACAGUUGUUGCGCCGACCGAACAAAACUUUCCAACUUUUCCGUAAACUUUGGGAUUCGGUUCGGGAGCGGGGAAACCUGUUGCAUAUAUUGGACUGUGCGCUGACCCUAUUGACUGCUAUAGUUACCCUGUGUUGCCCUUCAGGAAUUUCUUAACAUCAUUGAUAAAUACAACAAGUGUUUACGAGUGUCCCAAGUGAGCGUAACAAAGUGUAUCGGACAGCAAGGGGUGCCAAGUGGUUUUCAAAGUGUCGAUAUUGUGAAGAAGGUGUUUUUUGAGUGUGUGUGUGUGUGUGUAGGUGUGUUUGUGUGUUAAUAUAUGUAUAUGUAUGUAUGUAUUCAAUGGUGUGUUUGUAUGUGUUUGUGUGUGUGUGUAUUGGUGUGUGUGUGUGUGUGUGUGUGUGUGUAUGUGAGAGAGAGAGAGAGAGAGAGAGAGAGAGAGAGAGAGAGAGAGAGAGAGACUGGAGGAGAAGGUAACGGAAAAAAAUAUGGAAUGAGAGAGAGAGAGAGAGAGAGAGAGAGAGAGAGAGAGAGAGUUAGAGAAAGGAGAGAAUGACACACUCUCGCUUUAUUUCAGAUGCUCUCACAGGUAGCUGAGGGAACACCUGGAACCACUUACCCCUCCCUUUCACUUUCCUUCACCCCUUUCACUUUCCUUCAGCCCUCCCUUUCUCUUUCCUUCACCCUCCUUCUUUUUCCCUCCCCUCCCUCUCUUUCCUUAAUCCCCCUCUUCCUCUUCUCUUUCUUUUAUCCCAUUUCUCACUCUAUCUUUCUCAUUUCUUUAUCUUCUUCCUUUCUCUCUCUCGUCCUCCUCUCCUUCUCCCUAUUCUUUAUUCUCUCCUCCUUCGCUCUCUCCUCCUCCUUCCCACUUCUUGUAUCCUCCUCCGCCUCCUCCUCCUCCUCCUCUUCAUCUUCCUAACCUUGCCUAUUUCCUUUUCCUCCUCCUCCUCCUCCUCUUCUCCAUCCUUGCCUCCUCCUAUUCUGAAUUAUCUACUCUUCCUCCUCCUCCUCCUCCUCUUCACUAUCCUUUCUCUCCUAUUUCUCCUCCUCUUGAAUCCAUAUCCUCUCCUUUCCUUACUCCUUUCCUUCUGCUCCUACAUCCUUAUCCUUUUCUUUACAUAUCCUUUUCCUCCUUUUUUCCCUUUCCUUCCCCUCCUUCUCCUAUCCUCAAUCCCUUCUCCUCCUUCGCUUCCAUCCUUGUCCUUCCCCACCCCCUUAGCUAACAGAUUGCUGCGGUUCCCCCUUAAAACUGCCUUGGCUGUUGCCCGUAUCAAUGGGUGUAAUGCAUAGAUGAAUGGGAGAGCAAGGAGGAGGAGGAGGAGGAGGAAGGGGAGGUGAUAGGAAGAGCAAUGGGUAGGAAACUAUCAAUCUUGGAGCAAUGUUAGGAGAGAAGAUUUGCCCGUUAGAGGAAGGAAGGAAGGGAGGAGAAAUUAAUAAAAGAAUUGAGUUACUAAAGAAAGGAAUGGGGAGUGAGGAGGAAGGGAAGGAGAUAGGCAAAGCAUUAGGGUGGAAACUAUCAAUCUCGGAGCAAUGUUAGAGAGAGAAGGUUUGUCUGUUAGAGGAAGGAAGGAAGGAGAAAUUAAUAAAAGAAUGAUUGAGUUACUGAAGAAAGGAAUGAAGGCGUGAGGAGGAAGAGAAGGAGAUAGGCAAAGCAUUAGGGUGGAAACUGAAUCUCGGAGCAAUGUUAGGAGAGAAGGUUUGUCCGUUUGAGGAAGGAAGGAAGGAAGAAGAAAUUAAUAAAAGAAUGAUUGAGUUACUGAAGAAAGGAAUGAGGGAGUGAGGAGGAAGAGAAGGAGAUAGGGAAAGCAUUAGGGUGGAAACUGAAUCUCGGAGCAAUGUUAGGAGAGAAGGUUUGUCCGUUUGAGGAAGGAAGGAAGGAAGAAGAAAUUAAUAAAAGAAUGAUUGAGUUACUGAAGAAAGGAAUGAGGGAGUGAGGAGGAAGAGAAGGAGAUAGGGAAAGCAUUAGGGUGGAAACUGAAUCUCGGAGCAAUGUUAGGAGAGAAGGUUUGUCCGUUUGAGGAAGGAAGGAAGGAAGGAGAAAUUAAUAAAAGAAUGAUCGAGUUACU